GACAGAGGGGGCAAGCGUUGUUCGGAAUUAUUGGGCGUAAAGAGCUCGUAGGCGGUCUGUCACGUCUGCUGUGAAAACACGGGGCUCAACUCCGUGCCUGCAGUCGAUACGGGCAGACUAGAGUUCGGUAGGGGAGACUGGAAUUCCUGGUGUAGCGGUGAAAUGCGCAGAUAUCAGGAGGAACACCGGUGGCGAAGGCGGCCAACUGGACCAUUACUGACGCUGAGGAGCGAAAGCGUGGGGAGCAAACAGG
rnacentral:rRNA from 1 species